GAGUGUUACAGCUCUUUUAGAAUUUGUCUAACAGGUUUUCCAGGUUUUAUCAGAAAACCUCC
rnacentral:snRNA from 1 species